GACGAACGCUGGCGGCGUGCUUAACACAUGCAAGUCGAACGAUGAAGCCGGAGCUUGCCCUGGUGAAUUAGUGGCGAACGGGUGAGUAACACGUGAGUAACCUGCCCUUGACCCUGGGAUAACUGCGGGAAACAGUGGCUAAUACCGGAUACGACCACCGCAGGCAUCUCCUGGGGGUGGAAAGAAUGUCGGUCAAGGAUGGACUCGGGGCCUAGCAGCUAGUUGGUGAGGUAAAGGCUAACCAAGGCGACGACGGGUAGCCGGCCUGAGAGGGUGACCGGCCCCACUGGGACUGAGACACGGCCCAGACUCCUACGGGAGGCAGCAGUGGGGAAUAUUGCACAAUGGGCGCAAGCCUGAUGCAGCAACGCCGCGUGAGGGAUGACGGCCUUCGGGUUGUAAACCUCUUUUAGCAGGGAAGAAGCGAAAGUGACGGUACCUGCAGAAAAAGCACCGGCUAACUACGUGCCAGCCGCCGCCGUAA
rnacentral:rRNA from 1 species